UUCUUUAUUCCGAUAGACUAGUGUAAACACCUCCUAAUAAAAAUACCUAUUCAUUGAAUUUUUUUACAAGUGUAGUACUGUACUGAAAUUGGAUAAGUUGUUGAAGAUAUUAAAAAAAAUAUUAAUAAGGAAAAUGAAAGUGGUGUUAUUGAGUGUAAAUCAUAUUUUUUGUACUAUUAUAUAAUUAUAUUCAAUGAACUCAACUUUUGGGAAGUAAUAAGACAAAUUAUUAUGCGCUUCCUUUUUACUGUUUGCAAAACUGGAGUUAUUUCAUAUUGAACAUAUCGUUUUUGAAAUUUUUAAUCAGGAGCAUAUGAGAUAAAACUACGUAUUUAUUUAUAAGUAAAGUUUCGUGUAACCUUGUAGUAAUGAUGGAAGUAUCUAAUGAAAUAAAAGAAGAUAUUCGUAAAACUCAAUCGGACUUGAAAAACGCGAUACGAGUUCAUCAGAUUUGGGUUGCGCGAUUACAAGAAGACGAGAAUAAUAUUCAUCUAAA